AUUGAACGCUGGCGGCAGGCCUAACACAUGCAAGUCGAGCGAGUGGCGGACGGGUGAGUAAUGUAUGGGGAUCUGCCUGAUAGAGGGGGAUAACUACUGGAAACGGUGGCUAAUACCGCAUACCAUCGGAUGUACCCAUAUGGGAUUAGCUUGUGGGUGGGGUAACGGCUCACCUAGGCGACGAUCCCUAGCUGGUCUGAGAGGAUGAUCAGCCACACUGGAACUGAGACACGGCCCAGACUCCUACGGGAGGCAGCAGUGGGGAAUAUUGCACAAUGGGCGCAAGCCUGAUGCAGCCAUGCCGCGUGUAUGAAGAAGGCCUUAGGGUUGUAAAGUACUUUCAGCGGGGAGGCGUUACCCGCAGAAGAAGCACCGGCUAACUCCGUGCCAGCCGCCGCGGUAAUAC
rnacentral:rRNA from 1 species